GAUGAACGCUGGCGGCGUGCCUAAUACAUGCAAGUCGAGCGAACAGAUGAGGAGCUUGCUCCUCUGACGUUAGCGGCGGACGGGUGAGUAACACGUGGAUAACCUACCUAUAAGACUGGGAUAACUUCGGGAAACCGGAGCUAAUACCGGAUAAUAUAUUGAACCGCAUGGUUCAAUAGUGAAAGACGGUUUUGCUGUCACUUAUAGAUGGAUCCGCGCCGUAUUAGAUAGUUGGUAAGGUAACGGCCUACCAAGGCAACGAUGCGUAGCCGACCUGAGAGAGUGAUCGGCGACACUGGAACUGAGACACGGUCCAGACUCCUACGGGAGGCAGCAGUAGGGAAUCUUCCGCAAUGGGCGAAAGCCUGACGGAGCAACGCCGCGUGAGUGAUGAAGGUCCUCGGAUCGUAAAACUCUGUUAUUAGGGAAGAACAAAUGUGUAAGGAAAUAUGCACGUCUUGACGGUACCUAAUCAGAAAGCCACGGCUAACUACGUG
rnacentral:rRNA from 1 species